rnacentral:rRNA from 1 species
UGGCAGACGGGUGAGUAACGCGUGGGAAUCUACCUAGUGGUGGGGAAUAACUCAGGGAAACUUGUGCUAAUACCCCAUAAGCCCUUCGGGGGAAAGAUUUAUCGCCAUUAGAUGAGCCCGCGUCAGAUUAGCUUGUUGGUGAGGUAAAAGCUCACCAAGGCGACGAUCUGUAGCUGGUCUGAGAGGAUGAUCAGCCACACUGGAACUGAGACACGGUCCAGACUCCUACGGGAGGCAGCAGUGGGGAAUCUUGCACAAUGGGCGAAAGCCUGGUGCAGCCAUGCCGCGUGAGUGAUGAAGGCCUUAGGGUUGUAAAGCUCUUUCACCCGUGAAGAUAAUGACGGUAGCGGGAGAAGAAGCCCCGGCUAACUCCGUGCCAGCAGCCGCGGUAAU